rnacentral:rRNA from 1 species
AGCUCCAAUAGCGUAUAUUAAAGUUGUUGCGGUUAAAAGCUCGUAGUUGGAUUUCUGUUGAAGCUGAACGGUCCGUACUAUGUACGUGUAUCUGUCUUGGCUUUGGCAUCCUCUUGGGGCACACGACUGCGCUUGAUUGCGUGGCGUGGGACCCAAGACUUUUACUUUGAGGAAAUUAGAGUGUUCACGGCAGGCAUGUGCCUUGAAUAUAGUAGCAUGGAAUAAUAAUAUAGGACCUUGGGUCUAUUUUGUUGGUUUCUAGAACUAAGGUAAUGAUUAAUAGGGGGCAGUUGGGGGCAUUCGUAUUAACACGUCAGAGGUGGAAUUCUUGGAUUGUGUUACGACGAACUACUGCGAAAGCAUUUGCCAAGGAUGUUUUCA